rnacentral:rRNA from 1 species
AUUGAACGCUGGCGGCAUGCCUUACACAUGCAGGUCGAACGGCAGCACGGGUGCUUGCACCUGGUGGCGAGUGGCGAACGGGUGAGUAAUACAUCGGAACGUACCUUAUCGUGGGGGAUAACGCAGCGAAAGCUGUGCUAAUACCGCAUACGCCCUGAGGGGGAAAGCGGGGGAUCGAAAGACCUCGCGCGAUUAGAGCGGCCGAUGCCUGAUUAGCUUGUUGGUGGGGUAAAAGCCCACCAAGGCGACGAUCAGUAGCUGGUCUGAGAGGACGAUCAGCCACACUGGGACUGAGACACGGCCCAGACUCCUACGGGAGGCAGCAGUGGGGAAUUUUGGACAAUGGGGGCAACCCUGAUCCAGCAAUGCCGCGUGAGUGAAGAAGGCCUUCGGGCUGUAAAGCUCUUUUGUCAGGGAAGAAACACCGGCUCUAACACAGUCCGGGAAUGACGGUACCUGAAGAAUAAGCACCGGCUAACUACGUGCCAGCAGCCGCCGUAA